CACGUAGGGCGCAAGCGUUGUCCGGAAUUAUUGGGCGUAAAGAGCUCGUAGGCGGUCUGUUGCGUCUGCUGUGAAAACCCGGGGCUUAACCCCUGGCUUGCAGUGGAUACGGACAGACUAGAGGUAGGUAGGGGAGAAUGGAAUUCCCGGUGUAGCGGUGAAAUGCGCAGAUAUCGGGAGGAACACCGGUGGCGAAGGCGGUUCUCUGGGCCUGACCUGACGCUGAGGAGCGAAAGCGUGGGGGAGCGAAACAGGG
rnacentral:rRNA from 1 species